AGGAGGAGGGACUUCUUUUCGGACGAUCUGUGAGAGCAAAGCAGACAAGAUGUAGGCAGGGGACUGAUAGUUCUGGUGGCGGAAUCCACCACUGGAAGAUUUCGAACAUAGAAUAGUUGAUGAAUUUAGGAUGAUAGAGUCCGUGCCCAGCGAUUGUGUGAUCUGUUGAUUCUAAACUAAGAUUGUCGGGUGUAUUCCAUUCUGCAACGAUUCAACUGAGCGCCAGUGAAAGAUAUAGAAUCCUUUGUGUAUACGCCAGGAGAAGUAUAGUUGGGAUAUAUGGUGGUUCUGCUUUAUUUCUUUGAGGAUCCUCUACACUCAGUUACACCAUGGUUUCAUCAGUUAUCAUCCCAUCAACAGAUUUUCAUGACUUUUCCCAGUUAUUUUCGUUAUACUUAAUUCCUCAGUAUUAACCACUCUCUGGGACUUCGGAGGAGCCAUCUUCUGCCUGAUUGUGACACCUGCCCCGUGAUUCCUCCUUCUGUCCAUUCCAACCCAGCAGGUCCAGAGUUUUCACAGACAUAUACUUGCUAGACAUCAUUAAUGCAAGCAGCUCACCAUGCUCUGACCACUCAGUAUGAGGAGUAUAAAGUCCUUUCAUAUCUGCUAUCACCCAGAAAGACUGCAGUUAUUUCCCGUUAAUCUCUAUCAAGAGCAAACCUGUUUCCGAAGCACAUUCUCAACCUGGCUCCUUGCUCCUCAGGGUUAUUCUCUCGUUCUGGCUGAAAUGUCAUUGUCUUGCGGGUAGUCUUGAUGUCUUUUUGCACAAAUGUGAAUUUUCCCUUCCUGAGUAUCACGUAAUUUUGAUUGUAUUUCACCAGGUAUGUAUUUUACUUCAAAAUGAUCCAAACUUAUAUUUUAACCAAACACGGGGGAAUUUCAUUGCUGCCACAUCUAGCAGACGGCACAAAAUAGCACCUGGUUGGAGGAACUAAUUAGGGAUGUUUCUGCACAACGAAUCAGAAGAAUGAAAAGACGUGGAAACCUCUCCUGUCUGAAAUUCAAGCUCACACUCCUGUCCUCUGUUCCUUUCCUUAAAGCUCCACUGGAUGCGGGACUAUUUUUCAAAAUUAAAGUGACCAACACUGGAGAUAAAGUAGUUGGGAUUAAACCUGAAGGCUUAUUUCACCACACUAAAGGAAAGAAAGACCACUGUAUUGUGUCUUACGAAGGCCAUGGUAGGAGGAUGGAGUGUCUGCUGAUCUAUAUGAACAAGGAGCGGCUGGAAAACCAGAAACGUAACUUCUGGAAGUUGGAGCUAUCCAUCUGGCUUACUUACUGAGAACUGUAGGCACCCGCACUGCAAGCAUUAUUUAUAUACUAAGUAAUGCAUUUAAGAUUUAUGAGGAAUGAGAAGUCACACCACACCUAGAAGGGUGUGAACACGGAAUGCCUGCACUCAGGGAGAGAUCUGCGUCAGCUGUAUUUUUGAUCAAAAGUUGUUCCCAUAGUGACAACACUCUCCCCCUUAUCAGUAUUUCUUCUUGUUACUUGGUUACCAAAAUAUGAAAUGAAUACUGAAUGCAGGUCAUGAGCAUGAGAGCGAAUAUAAAGCUAACUAGUUAUCUAGGUCUAACUCUGUCAUGAUUUUUCUUUAUAUUUUUGGUGGUGGUUAAAUACAUAAAUAUAUUCAGUGGUCUAAGUAUAGAACCCAAUAUGAAGCCCACAGCCUCCAAAUGCCUAUUGUAACUUCCCAGAAGUUCACUGAGGUAUACAAACCUUAGGUCUAAUAAAUUCACUGUGUAAUUUUUUUAUUUACAUAAUUGUUAAAAUAAAAUUUAUUAAAAUGUA
rnacentral:lncRNA from 1 species